UUUGGUUUUAGACUUAUAAGCCAAAAUCUACAUUUUACCCCUAUGUUCUAAUUUUAGCCAUGGCAGCAAUCUUGGUUGGUUGGCCGGGUCACGCCACACAUUUUUGAAACUAGCUACCCCAAUGAUGAUUGUGGCCAAGUUUGGAUUAAUUUGGCCCAGUAGUUUCAGAGAAGAAGAUUUUUGUAAAAGAUAACUAAGAUUUACGAAAAAUGGUUAAAAAUUGACUAUAUAGGGCAAUAACUCCUAAAGGGGUCAACUGACCAUUUUGGUCAUGUUGACUUAUUUGUAAAUCUUACUUUGCUGAACAUUAUUGCUGUUUACAGUUUAUCUCUAUCUAUAAU
rnacentral:lncRNA from 1 species